UUUUUUUUUAAUUUCUUUUUUUUAAUUAGGUAUUUAUUUCAUUUACAUUUCCAAUGCUAUCCCAAAAGUCCCCCACACGCUUCCCCACCCACUCCCAUUUCUUGGUCCUGGCAUUCUCCUGUACUGAGGCAGAUAAAGCUUGCACGACCAACGGGCCUCUCUUUCCAGUGAUGGCCGACUAGGCCAUCUUCUGAUACAUAUGCAGCUAGAGACACGGGCUCUGUGGGUACUGGUUAGUUCAUAAUGUUGUUCCACCUAUAGGGUUGCAGUUCCCUUUAGCUCCUUGGGUACUUUCUCUAGCUCCUCCAUUGGGGGCCCUGUGAUCCAUCCAAUAGCUGACUGUGAGCAUCCACUUAUGUGUUUGCUAGGCCCCUGCAUAGUCUCACAAGAGAUAGCUAUAUCUGGGUCCUCUCAGCAAAAUCUUGCUAGUGUAUGCAGUGGUGUCAGCGUUUGGAAGCUGAUUAUGGGAUGGAUCCCCGGAUAUGGCAGUCUCUAGAUGGUCCAUCCUUUCGUCUCAGCUCCAAACUGUGUCUCUGUAACUUCGUCGAUGGGUGUUUUGUUCCCAGUUCUAAGAAGGGGCAAAGUGUCCACACUUUGGUCUUCAUAGGGCUGGAGAGAUGGCUCAGCCGUUAAAGGCUAGGCUCACAACCAAAAAUAUAAAAAACUAACAGCCAUUUUUAAAGACAGAGAAUCAGGCACUCUGUAACUCAAGACCUAGGAAUCAAAUUCUCAGAGAAAUUCAGACCAGUGUUGCCAGACCAUCUGCUGAAAACUGACCAGUAAAACACUGCAUAGCCAUGGAAAAGGCUCUUUAAAUCAGGUGUGCACAGCAUUCAGCAAACUGAAAAUCUAGUGGGAACCAAAGUCUGCAUGAGAAUGUUCACAGACUCCAAGCAGCAAUGUUGAUCAUUUAGAAGAGCUGCACGGCACUAGGGCCAGCAUUCACAGCCAGAAACCAAAUGGAAUCACAGAAGCAUCAGCAGCAUCUGCCCAGAAAGCAGGAACCACAGUCUGGGAUGACAGUGAUAAUUUGGCCAUUCAAAAGAGAGAACAGGAGAGGCUAUCAUGGAGGAGAUGCCAGUGGCAAGAAAGGUUUCUAGGACAUAGGGGAAAAGUUCUGAGACUGCUCAGAAUCCAGCAGUCAGGUAGGUCAGCUUUCAUAUCCUGUAUCUCCACACAGAUCUAUCUCUUUCCCCUAUAUUCACUCCUUACUUAUUUAACAAUGAAUAUUUAGCCAAUUUAGCAGCCCAAGGGCUAAAGAGAGAGUUCAUUAAUCAAGAGCACUCGCUCUACUUGCAGAGGAACAGAGUUUGGUUCCUAGCAUCCUUCCCAUGUAUCUCAUGAUGGCCAGUAUCUCCAGCUCCAGGAGAUAUGAUGCCCUCUGGUCUCUGUAGCCAUUGGCAUGUACAUGGAAAUUCAUAUAAACAGAUAUAUAAAAUAAAAAGAAUAUUUUUUAACAUUUUUAGCAGACUAGCUUAAUUCUGCCCCAUUCUUCUCCUUUAUUUCAUCUCCCCCUCCUCAGUACUCUUCUCUUUUUCUUUUUCUUCUCCCAUAGAAGACAGGUUUGCAAGUUCUCCAUGACUUGGCAUCCUAAGAGAUGAGACUCUUCUACACUAUAGGAUAUAUAGCACAUCUUUAACUCUCUCCUUUCAAUCUGCUUUAGCCAAAACGCCCUGGUUCCCCUUUGUUUUUUAACCCUAUGGUACCCUCUUCUAUUUAUAUUCUUCUAUGUAUCCACCCAAUGCUACUAACUGUUUUUCUUCCUUUUUGUUUAUUUUUCUUUCCACGGGUACACACGGUAACUAGUAUGUUACUAUAGAAUUAUCAUAUCUCUACAUUCUCUAAAAUGAUUAGUGCUUAAGGAAUGAUUAUUUUGUACUUAAGCAUUACCCUAUUAACAUAGUGGGGCUAUCCCUGCAUAGUGACUGUUGUAGGCAGCAUUAUACUCCUACAGAAGAAUUGGAGAUGGUGUCUGGUGAUCUGAGAACCAAUAUAACAGAGAAAAACUAUACCUCAAUCAUACUACAACUAGGUCCAUGCCAAACAGUGUAAUCACGUCUACUGAAAGAAUAAAUUUGACUUACAUAAAAUGAAAUUCCACCAGUGCUCUAACUCCAGAUGUAUGCAUCUCAGUGGGAAAAUAAACACAAGUACAGUGAAAACCCAAGACAAAACAUAUCUCCCCACUAAAUGUGCCAUUCCAUAGUAGUAGCCCAAAUGAUAGGUAAUUAAGUGAAAUUGCAAAGAAUUCAAAAGAAUGAUAGUAGAUAUGUUUAAAAAGUAAAAGAUUAAAUAAACUUCUGGAAGAAUUUCAAAAGAAUACAAACAAAUGAAUGAAAUAAAGAAUGUAAUAUGGUAUAUAAAAAUGGAAUUCAAUAAAGAGAUAUAAAAAUCCUCAGAAUGAAUCAUGAGGGAAACAAUACCUGGGCUUGAAGACAAGAUAAAUGAGUUGGAGCAUUCAUCUAAGAACAAACAUAGAUAAAUAAAAACAUUAACAGAACAUGUAAGAUCUUUUGGGACACCAUAAAAAGACACAAUCUAUAAAUUGUGGGCAUAAAAGAAGUCCAUUCUAACACCAUAGAAAAUAUUUUUUAGCUAUAUUGUAACAGAAAAAAAUUUGCAAAUCUAUGAAAAGAGGUUCCCAUCCAAAUGAAAGAGACAUAUAGAACACAAAAAGAAAGUCCCCAUGUCUACUGCAUUUAAAGUGCCAAAUAUACAAAAGAAAGAGAAUAUAAAUGCUAGAAGGACUUGGAGCAAUAUAUUUCAAGUUCUGAAAUACCACAGCUGCCAAGCAACACAGAGGAGCAGAGUUUGGUUCCCAGCAUCCUUCCCAUGUAUCUCAUCAAGGAUACUAUACCACAGCAAGAACAUGUCAUGGUUGAAGGGAAAAUUCCAAGAUAAAGGUAGGCUAACAUAAUGUUUUUCUACAAACACAGCUCUAAUCAUCCCAUCCAGAUACUUUCAGAGUAUAGUAUUUCUCAGCAUCCCACAGAACUUUCUUUCAAAUAUGUCACACAUGAAGAUACAAUGCACAUUUCAGCAAAUAUAGGAAAACUGAAAUAACUUCUUAUGUUUUAUUUGAUGGAAUUACCAUCAAAUUUAUUACCACCAUUAACAAUUACAGAUUAUUAAAAAUAAUUACAAGUAGUUGUUACCAUUACUAUGAUGGAACAAAGAAAUCAAU
rnacentral:lncRNA from 1 species